rnacentral:rRNA from 1 species
UAGGGAAUCUUCGGCAAUGGGGGGAACCCUGACCGAGCAACGCCGCGUGAGUGAAGAAGGUUUUCGGAUCGUAAAGCUCUGUUGUUAAGGAAGAACGAGUGUGAGAAUGGAAAGUUCAUGCUGUGACGGUAAUUAACCAGAAAGGGACGGCUAACUACGUGCCAGCAGCCGCGGUAAUACGUAGGUCCCGAGCGUUGUCCGGAUUUAUUGGGCGUAAAGCGAGCGCAGGCGGUUAGAAAAGUCUGAAGUGAAAGGCAGUGGCUCAACCAUUGUAGGCUUUGGAAACUGUUUAACUUGAGUGCAGAAGGGGAGAGUGGAAUUCCAUGUGUAGCGGUGAAAUGCGUAGAUAUAUGGAGGAACACCAGUGGCGAAAGCGGCUCUCUGGUCUGUAACUGACGCUGAGGCUCGAAAGCGUGGGGAGCGAACAGG